rnacentral:lncRNA from 1 species
AUCAUUUCUGCAGUAAUCUCCUCUUCAUCGUGUGAGCUGGUUUCACCUGUAUUAAAAGAAGAGUUUAGACUAACAAGGUGAUCAGACAGGGAAUGUUCAUACCUGACGGAUGUCUGCACAGGCACUGUAGCUUUAGCUAUUGGUUGAACAAUUGUGCUAGUCCCACAGAAAAGGUUUCCAUCCUUUUUGUCUUCCUCCUCAUUGGAG